rnacentral:misc_RNA from 1 species
GCACAUUAAAACAAGCAACUAACAAUAUUUUACUAUAUAAUGCACACAAAUAUCACAUUUUGAACCCAUUCAUCUGGUGCAACUGCUAAUUGAAGAUAAAAAAUCAAUCAACAAAGCUCGUCAGAUUCUUAGAGACGUGAGAUGUAUUACCGUCAUAAAUUUUACAAUGCAACUACUGCCCAGGUUGAAGGAGAUUACAAAUUGCCAGAAUAGACAUUGUCGUCCCAGCUUGUUUGCUCUUUUUUUGUUUUUCUGAUACAAACUGCACCUCAGAUUGACUUACUUGCAGCAAUGAAUAAUCAUAAAUAUAAUCACGAAGCAAAAAUAAACAUUCUUGCUGCCUUCCUCCAUAAACUGUAGUAUAAUAUGGUUAAGUAGAAGCCUUUUUACUCUUUUUCUUCGCAGUUUUUGCAAUUGCCUCAAAAAUCUCUUUUUUCCGUUUAUUGUUGCUAUUGAUAUUGUUGGUGGCGGUGGUGUUGCCGUUAUUGUUAUUAUUAUUGCCCCCUGUACUUGCUGCAUUUUUGCUCUGAACUUCCAGAGCAUCUUUCACAAAAAAUUUUAACCUCCAAAGGGUGGAUUCGCUCUGUGCAUCAAUAUCAAGGUCCACCUCUUCCGCCAUAGCUUGAAAACCUGGAUUAUUUUGAGCAACAAUCUCCAAUGCUUUAGUGAGAUCUUCAGGAGACAAUCUUGAAAGAGCUGCCCCAAGCUUUCGUUUCUCUUCAGUUGACAUUUUUCUUAUACGCAUUUCCAAAUUAACUUUAGUUAACAAGAAAAUUACCAUGCAGAAUAUAAUUUCAUGCAGGAAAAAAAUACCUUCAAUUUAUAAAUGAUACCAUUCUUAAUUGAAGAUCUUUAUACAAAGCAUUUUAAUUGAAAUGCCAAUGCAGUCAUUAAGGUGUUUGGUGAAUUAAGUCCCAUCAAUCUGUACUCUACACGCCUUUGAAAAGUCAGUCAGGUUAUGUCCAUAAAACUAGAAACAAUGCCUGAUCCACAGCAUGAUUGCACUUGCCAUUACAUUAGUAUAAUAAUUCACAGCAAUAGACAAGAACAUGAAGUAUAAUACAGAAUGCUAAAGUUUAAACAUUCCAGAGCUCAUAGGAUAGAAUAGACAAAGAUUAACAUGUUUCACCAUUCAGUGGUGUAAUUUAAAGUUGCUGCAAUAAUUUAUGUUUCGAUUACUCAAAUAGGGAAGAUGGUAUGCAGCCACAUGAAAGCUUCAGUAAUAAAGAAGUAUAAGAUAAAGAUACGGCAAAGACAAAUUAAAGUGUUCCAUUUGCAAUAUUAGGAUAUGCACUUCUUGUUUCAAAGACAGAAUUUGGCAAGUAGCGGAGAUCUAGACACACCCAUAGCAAAUGCAAUGCAACUUCUACAGUAAUAGAGUUCAUUAUAAAGUCACAAGGCAAACCUGCACUUUUGAACAACCAUGUCUCUAAGUUCAUCCAAAUGCAUAUCAAUCUCAUAAAGCUGAAAGUAGUCAAUUACAGUGAGUCAAAACAUAACCUGCUUAAAGAAUUCCAUAGGUAAUUCUAAAAUGUUUCUUUCAUCAAUCUAUAUUUAGUAUAAUAUACCUCAUUACUUAACUCCCUUGCCAUUUUAGCAUGAACAGCUUCUUGAGCAAAUUGCAUGUCCAACUGAGCCUCUGCUUCCUCUAUUUCUCGUCUUUUCUCCUCUUCAGUGACUUUAGGCAGAAGUUGCAGCCACUUCUCCUCAAAUUUUGCCAGCAAGGUUUUGGCCAUAACAUGAACAUCACUUCUUUCAUCAUUAUAUUUCAUUGCAUUCUUAAAAACUAACCUCACAUCAGCACACAUCUCCCUAACAUUCUUAUACCCAGUACCAUCCUUCGCCUCCAUUUGAUUUUUUAUGGUACUGAAGUCCAUGGGCUUAUCAAUAACCUCAUAAUAGUCAUCUAAGCCAAGACCUUUGACAUCUACAGGUUGCAUAAAGGGCCAAGCCCACUUGUGCUGUGUGAUCUGGCGCAGUAUUGUGCCAAAUUGGCGCAUAAGCUCUUGCAUUCUCUUUCCAGCAGCUGCCUCCCUUUUCGAUGCAUCUUGUUGCUGCUUCCUUAUGCUAGGUACGUGUCUCUCCUUGUCUUUAUCCUUCACAAUCGAGCUACCUUUUGAACCUCCAGUCUGUUGCUUUUUGCUUACAUUCAAGUAAAACUGUUCAACCUCAUUUACUCUUUGCUCCAGCUUAUCAACCUUGUUGAAAAGUUCAUCAACACGAUGCUUGAAACCCUCAGCUUCCACAGAAUCACCUUCAGAAUUUCCCAUUGGGGCAUUCCCAACAUCUGGAAUCGAUGAACUUAAUGGUUCCAUCAUGGAUUGAAGAGGAAUUGUAGAUUUGCUAAUGUGAAAGAGGCAGUGAAGGUUUUGCUCUGGAACUAGAAGGAAGUAGACAGAGACAGACACUGCUCUCCACACUCCAGCGAAAGUGAGUUUCCUUCAACACAGCGCUGUUGUUUCUUCUGUCCGUUUACAUUAUAAACGACUUCGUUUUCCACCUUUUUCGGCCGAAGUUCCA